CCGAGUUUACAACUCCCAAACCCCUGUGAACAUACCUUAUGUUGCCUCGGCGGAUCAGCCCGCGCCCCGUAAAAAGGGACGGCCCGCCGCAGGAACCCUAAACUCUGUUUUUAGUGGAUCUUCUGAGUAUAAAAAGCAAAUAAAUCA
rnacentral:misc_RNA from 1 species